CGAGCUUCGAAGGUGCGGUCUUUAUGUGUGUGUCGUCGCGACUCGUGCUGUGUUUUGCAAAUUCUUCUCUUUCUCUUUUACCUAUUUGUUUUUUUUUUCUUUUUUUCGUUCACCGUUAAUACGACACAUUGCAUCAACGAUAUAAAAUUAUCAACGAAAAAAAACUUUUACGUGUUAAUGACAUUUCAUCUUUGUGCAUCUCGUGUCGGUGACAGACAAUAAUUAUCUUUGCUGAAAAAGUCGGGACAUAAUCCAGGACGACAGAUCCUGAACAUUUGAUUACGGGAAAUGCACUACGAAAUCAUCAAAUAAGCUGAGAAGAAAUUUUUCCCACUGUCUUUCUCUACUAGAAUCAAGAAAAAUCAUUUUAAUUUACCAAAGUGGUUGUAUAGAAAAA